GCGUUAGAUGCGGUGGAAGAUUAUCGGAUAAAAGCUACCCUGGGGAUAACAGGCUGGUUGUGCCUAAGCGUCCAUAGCGACGGCACAGUUCGGCACCUCGAUGUCGGCUCAACUUAUCCUGGAGGUGAAGAAGCUUCCAAGGGUAUGGCUGUUCGCCAUUUAAAAAGUUACGCGAGCUGGGUUCAGACCGUUCAGAGCAUGAGAAAUCGUGAAUUGAACUGUCUGAAUCCUUUACGACAAAGAGAAAAUUGAGACCAACACAUCACGGCGGUCAUAUAAAGUAAUUUAUAUGUAGCCAGUUAACUUAUAUCGGUAAAAUCCGAUUAGUAUUUGUAAUAAAUACUAAGGACAAUACCGAGGGAAUGCUUCGGCAAGCUCAGCACGAGCACUGAAGUGACCCGUAGAGACUAAACGUUAACUAUCCCAUGAACUUUAGAGGAUAAAUCCUUCGACAAGCUCAGGAUAAAGAUAUAGUCCAUUCCUUACAGUAAUGUGAGAAAAGAAGCGUGAGACAGGUUGGUCUCCUAUCUACUGCAGGCGUUUGAUUCUUGAGGGGAUUUGCUCCUAGUACGAGAGGACCGGAGUGAACUGACCUCUGGUGUACCUGCUGUCUUGCCAAAGGCACCGCAGGGUAGCUAAGUCGGGCAUGGAUAAAUUCUGAAAGCAUCUAAGAAUGAAGCCAGCCCCAAGAUUAGGAAUCGUUGAGAGCCCUAGGAGAUGACUAGGUUGAUAGGCACUAGGUGUAAGUACUGUAAAGUAUUGAGCCGAGGUGUACUAAUUGCUCGAUUUCUAUUAGGAA
rnacentral:rRNA from 1 species